rnacentral:rRNA from 1 species
UACGUAGGGGGCAAGCGUUGUCCGGAUUUAUUGGGCGUAAAGCGCGUGUAGGCGGCCACACAGGUCCGCUGUGAAAACUCGAGGCUCAACCUCGAGCUGUCGGUGGAAACCGUGUGGCUAGAGUCCGGAAGAGGAGACUGGAAUUCCCGGUGUAGCGGUGGAAUGCGCAGAUAUCGGGGGGAACACCCGUGGCGAAGGCGGGUCUCUGGGACGGUACUGACGCUGAGACGCGAAAGCGUGGGGAGCGAACAGG